GCUGUCCAACUCUUCAUACUAGAGACCCUUUCUUGGAUGUCCGCCACUGUGAUGGUUACUGGACCGUGUUCAGGGAGGUUGAUUUGGUCUGUUCUUAGAUCCACUAGCGACUGAGCAUUGUUGUUAUUUGUUCCGUCCUUCUCCCAUAGGCAAUUCCAAUAUUGCUCCGUCUCCAGCCUUGGUGGUGCUGUUCUCAAAUUGUUCCCCUGCCACUGAGAGUGCGGCUUGGCUGGCUCCGUGGAGAACAGCUGGUUUAUUCUCCUGCCUUCGAUCUCUCUGGUGUAUCUCUUCACACGGCUGGCAAAUGCUGUGAGUCUUUGCUUGGCAGUUUCCAAGGCCUCAGGUAUGGACAGCUUGCUGUACUUCUAAGGCACCGUCUUUGUCGCACCUUUCUCCAGCUCUGAUAGUUGGCUAACCUCCCUCCGUGCUACUUUGAUCUUAGCCUCUAGUCUCCUUUUCAAUGGAGGGUACUGCUCCUUGUGGCUGUUUAGCUUGUAGCCAAGUAUCUCACUGAUCACUGCUGCUGUAGCAUAGAUCAGCUACUUAGUAUCGGUAAUGGUAAUGUAGCGGUAGUGCUGCAUUCACACCAUCUAGUAGAUCUUCUGAUCUUCUGAGGGUACUUCAUGCAGUCUUUCAGGUCAGUUUCUCUCGCACUAAGCGAUCCUUCUUCCAUCGCACUUGGGACUUGGUACCCAAUCUCGGGUGGGGGUGAUGAUAUAUCCCCCCGGCCUGUCGUCCUGCCUCCCCCUUGCUGUAGCAUGUGUGUUGUACCUCAUCAAUCUCUAGCUGUGAGAGCAAUCCCUUCUUCCGAUUCCGCUAGGGUUACUUGCGUAGUAGCAUGCCAUUAGCGCCCUAUUUUUUUCUACAUAUGACAAAACUCUUUCCGCCAGAUAUGUAAGGUAAGUGUGUGUAACCAAAUAAACACCUAAAGUCUGUAUAUCUAUUGACUUAAUAAAAGGUUUCAUGUUCAAGGUCAUGAUGCACUCUGUCUUCAUUAUCAGGCCAGUGCCUACAUGAGAACUGAACUGAAAGGAGUUCAGUUCUUUUAACUUUCUUUUUUCAAUAAAUCUCAGAAAAUGAAAGAGUGAUUGCCUCAGAGGAAAUUAUUGAGGUGACAAGUGUUCGACAACUGAGAGCAGACAGAAUCACCACUGAAAUCUCAGUUGAUAAAAAAUCCAGAGUGAAGAGUGAAUGAGACCGACUUAAAUAAUUUGUCCUGGAGAAAUUAAAAUACAAUCUGAAAUUUGAUUUAAAGAAUUUGAAAUCAUCCUGUAUUUGGUAAAACACUGUGUUUGGUGGACUUGUUUUUAGACAGUACAUCUUGGAUCUGGAGAAUUUUCACUUGUUCUGUUGGCAGAUUUUUUUCACUUAUUUGAAGCAAAAAUAUCUUGUGAAGAAAAAAUCUGCCAAUGGAACAAGUGAAAAUUCUCCAGAUCCAACAUGCACUGCCUAAAAACAAGUUCAUAUAUAUCACUGAAACACUGUUACUCUGUAGCUGAUUGUGUCUCAUUUUAAGUGUGAUGAGAUAUUUUUGAUUAGAAAUAAGACAAAUAUACUUGUUAAGAUUUUGAGUUCUUGCAGUGUAUGAUUUAAUUAUGUGUUCUCCUUCUAAGCCGGUGUUAAGAAAUAAAUAUAUAUUCUUAAUGCUUAUUUUCUGAUUAUACUGUUUUAUGUAUUUCAGAAAUAGAGGCCUUAUAAACCAAGCCCAGAGGAGACAAAGAACUAGGUCAGAGGGUGACAGGUCGCCUUGGCAACCGAGACUUCAGUAAGGGGAAGUAAAGAAACAGGAAGUUUAGUGCAGAGCUGCAGAGGCAUAUUAAUAAAAUACAGGAAAUCAGACAGAAAAAACUAUGUGUGUGUGUGUGACGUGCAGCAGAACUAUAAAUUCAUUCUGGCUUGUAAUGCUUGAGACAUGAGCGUGUGUGUUCGUGUGUUCACGUCUCCGUUUCCGGAAAUGUAAAAUAAAUAUCAUUUUUUGAACUUGACCACUCUGAGUCCAGUCUUUCUCUGUCGCCAAAAGAAUUCAAAAGAACGGAAUUUAAUACUUGUUGCCAGUGACCCGGAUUCUUUUGCGGCUGAGAGGACAAAUUCGGCUUAAGGUGGGAUCUGAUAUGAGGCGAACAGGAGACCGGUCUAAAAAGAUUUAAAGGUAGGCACAAGCCUGUUCAAAGAAAAAGCAAAAUUGUGCACAUUGGAUGAAUUCUAAAUUAUCUGUUCGCUGAGUAGAUGAUCUCCACCAUUAAAUUGGCUCAGUAGUGGUGAAAUUAUAGUAAAUUAUGAAAUCUGUUAAGUAGAUUUCGGGUGACAUGUCCAUGGUGAUUUUGGGUAAUUUGUGAUAAAUAAAAAGUAAAGUCUGGGGAAUAUUUGAUGAAAGCUUAUUGUUGUUAAUGCUGGGGUGAAUUUUAAAGCUGAUGUGACAUGUGCUUGAAGUUGAUGUGUUAUGGGUGUGUCAAUUGUGUUAUCUCAGCCAAGAAAAGAGAUUAGAUUAGGAUAUUUGGUUAAGGGAUUUAAUUCCCAAAUUGAUUAAAAGGGUUGGACCAGAGCAUCAGAUAAAUAAACUGGCGGUUAGAGUCCACAGUGAUGCUUCUAAAUGUAUUUAAAUUAUUUAGGACGGGGAGGGCGGUCCAUAGGGGUGCAAAAGGUUCGGGGUUGGUUCCCCCACUUUACUGCGGACGCGCGGUAGAGACCUGCGGCGACAGGAGAUCCCGGGUGAUUCCUGCGACCACUGAGGACGGUCGUUAAUAAUCAGUGUUCAAGUACCACUUUUGUUGCACGGAUUGAGCAAUAAAGCGGGGCUUCGGCGUGACCAUUUCAACGCGAGUGACCAGUAAAGCUUUAAGUAAAGCUUCAGGCGUCAGUGGGAUACUGAGACGCUGGUUAAGUGGAGCUUCCGGUCAAGCUGCGGGGAGCGCUUUUAAAUUAAUAUAGGGCCUAGAAAUUUGACCGUUAUCGGUGACGGCGUUCCCGAAGCCAGCUGAUUGACCAGCAAGGUGGGCGGACCUGGGCCUUAGAGGCUUUUAAAUUAGUCGAAAAGGUAGGAUGACCGGUUCCGGGGGCAGACGAUGUGAAAUGUGUUAAUACAGGUGCCCAUGGACUUGCUCAACCUCCUGGAAGAAUACAGCGGCAAAAUGAUAGAUUAACAGAAUUGGGAUGAAAACAGGCCAGGCUUUGGCUUAAAAUUUCACAGCUUCACCUCUCAUACUGUCCUUAUCCUGAGAAGAAGCUUAAAGGAUAGUUAAUCUCCUGAUGAAGACAGAAGACAGACAGAACAACACUGUGGACUUGAAGAAUUAACAGCAGGCAAAAGACAGUGCAGCUGACCUAAAACACUGAAGGGUCCAGCAGCAUGUAUGUUGAUGGAACAUGCGCUCUGAAUUACAAGCUGGGAAGUGUACCAGUGACAUGACUGUGUGAAAACACUGGAUUGGACUGCCUGAGUUUCAUAUUUGCCAUGCUGGGAGUUAACCGCCAAGAAAAGACUGAAAAGAUGAAGAGGGAAUGAACAGAGAAGAAGAAACGGCUGAUUUGGGCCUGUGUUUGAUUUGGGAGGCCACACAGGAAGUUGAGAGAAGAGGGGACGAGGACCGGCAGAGAGGUGAAGGAGACGUGUUACAGUGACAGCAUAGGAAAAUUGGGUUGAAAAUUGAGGCUGAAUUUGUGGGGUUCAGAAAUGUCCAGAGAAUCGCAACAGAAAGGUAAAAAAAAAAAAAAAA